rnacentral:rRNA from 1 species
GUGGGGAAUCUUGCGCAAUGGGCGAAAGCCUGACGCAGCCAUGCCGCGUGAAUGAUGAAGGUCUUAGGAUUGUAAAAUUCUUUCACCGGGGACGAUAAUGACGGUACCCGGAGAAGAAGCUCCGGCUAACUUCGUGCCAGCAGCCGCGGUAAUACGAAGGGGGCUAGCGUUGCUCGGAAUUACUGGGCGUCAAGGGCGCGUAGGCGGACAGCUUAGUCAGAGGUGAAAGCCCAGGGCUCAACCUUGGAAGUGCCUUUGAUACUGGCUGGCUUGAGUUUGGGAGAGGUGAGUGGAACUCCGAGUGUAGAGGUGAAAUUCGUAGAUAUUCGGAAGAACACCAGUGGCGAAGGCGACUCACUGGCCCAAUACUGACGCUGAGGCGCGAAAGCGUGGGGAGCAAACAGGAUUAGAAACCCCAGUAGUCC